rnacentral:misc_RNA from 1 species
UCCGGUUUGUCACCGGCAGUCCCAUUAGAGUGCCCAACUGAAUGUAGCAACUAAUGGCAAGGGUUGCGCUCGUUGCGGGACUUAACCCAACAUCUCACGACACGAGCUGACGACAGCCAUGCAGCACCUGUGUUGCGGUUCCCUUUCGGGCACCAAGACAUCUCUGUCCCGUUCCGCACAUGUCAAGGGUAGGUAAGGUUUUUCGCGUUGCAUCGAAUUAAUCCACAUAAUCCACCGCUUGUGCGGGUCCCCGUCAAUUCCUUUGAGUUUAAGCCUUGCGGCCGUACUCCCCAGGCGGUCAACUUCACGCGUUAGCUUCGUUACCAAGGAAUUACUUCCCCGACAACCAGUUGACUCUUCCAACAACUAGUUGACAUAGUUUAGGGCGUGGACUAC